GACGGUUAAGAAGGCAGAGUGCAACAACACUGGAAUGAUUUUUUGAACCAGCCAACAAUUCCCAGCCGUGUACACAGAGCCACACCCCUACAAUAUAUUGGUACAGCUGCGUUUUUGCCAGCGCAAGCAGUAAACUCCUGUCUCCACUGGUGUUAGCAUUUUAGCAUGUCCUGGGAUGUUGACCUGUUGAAGAGAAGUUACUUCAUGAAUUCAGCUUGUACUGGUUUUAUGAGAAUGGCCAGAAGCGCCUUUGCUGUCCUGUUUUGCUUUGUAAUGCGCACGUGUCAGCUAGUUAGUUUUAUUACAUUAGAACUCCUGAGCAGCUAGCAAUGCGAACUUGCUAAGACCGAUACUGACAGCUGAAAACCUCAUGAGAGCACAUACUGAGAAUGCUCAAGACUGUCUUCGCUUUGCUGUCCUGUUUUGUCUUUCUCUCUAGGGGCGGCUGUGGAUCGGGUGGUAGAGCGGGUCGUCCACUGAUCGUAGGGUCGGCGGUUCGAUUCCCGGCCCACGUGACUCCACAUACCGAAGUGUCCUUGGGUAAGACACUGAACCCUAAAGUUGCUCCUGAUGGCAAGUUAGCGCCUUGCGUGGCAGCUCUGCCACCAUUGGUGUGUGAGUGUGUGUGUGCGAAUGGGCGAAUGAGACACAGUGUAAAGCGCUUUGUAGAACCGCUCAGGUUAAAAACAAAAGCGCUGUAUAAGAGCUUACCGUUCUUUAUAAGCCGGAUAAUAAACAUGCUGUUGCCACUCUACUUAAACGAAUAUCAUUUCUAGAAGAAUCGACUAUCGCACCUUUCGACGGACUCCAGAAAACCAAACAGCUCUGCUAUUUGCUGGUUUCAUGUCCGUCCCCAAACUAAAGCGAAACACUGAUAAUGAAAAUAAAUAUUCCAAUAGUAAAACUGGGACGUGAAUCUGGAUGGACGACGAGAAGAAUUGAAUCGGGACUUAUAUCCCUGGACACACUAAGGUUUCUAUGUGUUUAGACUAAAUAGGGUUUAAAUCAAGACAGCUCGCGCGGGCCGGUGCGCUCAUGCUCUGUUUCAGCAUGCUCUGUUUGAAUAUUUAUAACCCACAUACACAAAGUUUUUGUGCAGCAUUUUCACUUGGAAUGCGCAGUGUCUCAUCAAGGCUUGGCAGGACGUGUAGCGCAAAGCCUGGCAGGCAGGAGCUUCAGCCAGUGUGGACUUGGCAGACAAUGCCCUCUAUAAUACUGCCGUAAAUCCGAACACCUGCGGACACACUCGACUCGUAGGCAAUACUAUACCUACACCUACAUGUUCAUUCAUUUCCCUGUGCGUGUUUACGUUUUAAAAGGUCUGAAUUCAACCUGAGCUGCUCUACCUACGGAAGGUCUUUCUCUUUAACGGGGUCGUAUUUUAGAACAUCAGCACACGGGAGGAGUCCAGAGCAAAGAAUCACAAUCUUAUUUUAUUUUAUUAUCUUAUUCGGGGGGCUCUGUCUGGCAGUCGGACGUUGUUCCGACUUCUUAUCGGGACUCGCGCGCUCGACCAGAGAGCAAAAGUAUUUUCUCUGGAGGCGAGUCAGACCGAAGCUUUUACGGUUCUCCCACUGUUUCUCCUGGAGUGCAUGAUGGAGUGCAUGAUGGAUCGCCUGAAGUAAUUGAAUCAAUGCUGAAUACAUCUUCAUAUGCAUUAAACUGCAAAACACAACUCCUGCUUCUUAUCUUUUAUCCGAAGCAAUAAAAAGAUCAUAAAAGCGCAUGGGACGUGUCUGGGAACGGCGUAAUGACAGUUAAAUAUGGCCGUACCGAUCAUCUUGUACUCGUGCACUCUGUCCCAUCAGCCUAACGGCUAAAAGGUCCAAUGAGGUCUCCUGUGUAAUACCUGGCUUGCCCUCGUUUAAUUUUCCACUGCUCUUUCCUAGAAUUCUUUACAAAUAAUUGUACCCAGUGGCAACAUAUAAGAGGAAAAGCAGCGGUCCUAGAACAGAUCCUUAUGGAACACCAAGCCUCACUCUUCAGAUAUUUUCAGAUGCUACAGAUUUAUAGCUCUGAGAAUAUCUGUUUAUUUGGAUUUCACCUAUUCCAGCUGCUCGUAGCCCGUGACGGCAUGCUGAUCAGGAUCAGGCCUGGAGCAUGAGAUAACGCUCUUAGUUUAGACGGUCCGGACCAAACUGCAAACUUUCCUACAUCCGAUUCAAUUCGUUAUUUCGGAUUAUGAAAACCCGACGGCGUUUAACUCAGGGUUUUUACAUAAACAGGCGUUUCGUACGCGCCGUACUAUGACACGUAAAGGUUUUACGGGGAUUUCCAGCGUCUUCGUGAUGUCUCCGUAUCGAAUCGCAAAAGUAACGUACAUCUACGACGAGGAAUGAACGCUUAGUUAGCGUGACCAGCAAUUAGAGGUACUGGAGACGCAGCUUUCGGAGCUAAUUCUCGUCUCGUCCGAGUUGCCAGGUUUUCUAUAAUUACAUCUAGAUUCAAUACGAUCCCAGCAUGGAAACGAGGAGAUUCGAUACAGUUACAAAAUGUUGUCCAAGAGGCGAUUUCUGUCUUCACAUGGUAAAAACCCUGCAGAAACCUUCCGCCAUAAAUAUUCUGACAACCCUGGCAUGUUGAUGGUUUUUUUUAAAUGUGUACGGUAAUGCAGAACGACCGCAACGCUACGCUCUACAACAAGACGGUAAAAGUCAUGUAAACAUUCCUGGUGGAAAAGAGCUUUAUUAUCGAGGAAUGGUGCUCUGUGUUGUGAAAUCACGGGCACAGGCAGGAAAAGCACCGGACAUGUUCAUUUAACUUUUUACAUAUUUGUUUACCAAAUCCUACACACGUUUAUUUGUGUACCUAAUUAAGUUGUAUUGCAGAUGUUUUCUCUUCGGUUCUUCUGUGGUAUUGCUCUAAAGAACCUUUUCGAACAUCUUUACUUCGAGGAGUGCUUUGAUGGUACGCUGUAGUCAGGAGGUCAAAGGGAAUAAUUUGAUUAUUUGAUUAUGAAGUGUUAUAGAAAUGGUACAGUGAGAACUGGAAGGAUUGGUACCUGGUGCACCUAUACGGAGACUAGCAGUUUAGUAGGGGACGACUCGGCCAUAAUCGAGUGCCUUUGCAACCUGGACAAAAGAGUCAUUGACAAAACAUUUGGCCAUGAGCCGUGGUGCCUUCUCCGCUUGUUAAACGAGAGAAGAAAAAUAAAAGAUUGGAAUCGAUUCCCCCACCCCACGUACACGCAAGGCGAAUGAAACGAAUUUAGCAUUGGACAGUUUCAGUUAGCAAAACAGGCAGCAGAUCUUUAUUUUGAAUACGUCUGUUCAUAAUUUUAACAAAUCGCGGCUUGAAAAACAGACUGUAAAACGUGUGGGGAGUCAUAAUAAAGUGAUGAGCGGUAGAAGAUGUACAUCUUGAUUUAAUCCGAGUGUCUCAUUUGGUUGACUUUUGAUGGCAUUUGAUAAUAUUCUCACGCUGUGACAGAUUACUGAUAAAUGCCACUGAUGUUGUAUUGUAGUUAGUGAACUGUUAUAUCAUUUCGCCUAGUUUAGAAUUCAGGCCGAUUUUAAAAUGUUAUAAUAAAUAGUUUCAUUUAAUAUAUUUUUUAAAAAUACAUUUAAAAAUAAUCGUUAGCUGCAGCCCUAAAUAAACAUGUAGAACUUGAAGCGAAUGGCGGUGACGGGGUGUUGAGGGAAAUUUAACCUUGCUGUGACCUUGACCUUGUUUGGAUCAAUUCCAAAAUCGAAUAAAUUCAUUUACUGGUCACAAUGAGAAUUUGAUAUAAAUCUUGAGCUAUCACGCUAAUGAGAAUCUCGGAAAGACAGACAGAUAGAUGGAUGGAUGGAUGGAUAGACUGAUGGACAACCCAAAAACAAAAGUCUCUACCACUCAUCGAUGGAGGCAUAAAAAUAUUCUGGAAGCCAUGGAUUGAAACAGCUGUGGAUCAGGUGGUAGAGCGGGUUGUCCACUAAUCGUAGGGUUGGCGGUUUGAUUCCACGUGACUCCACAUACCAAAGUGUCCUUGGGCAAGACGCUGAACCCAAAUUGCUCCUGAUGGCAAGCUAGCGCCUUGUAUGACACCAUUGGUGUGUGAGAGUGUGCGAGUGUGAAUGGGCGAAUGAGAAUCAGUGUAAAGUGCUUUGUAGAACUGCUAAGGUUAAAAAAGCGCUAUAUAAGUGCAGACCAUUUACCAAAACAAAUUACCAAACCAAAAAAAAGAAGGUUAGAAGCUUAGACUCAAAGAAAAAUCUCAGACACUUCAAUGCCAGCUUGAAGGCACUUGUGCGUAGGACAGCAGUGUUUACGCUUGUUGUUUGCAUUAUCACUGAGUUUUCUUAAACCAUUACAUGCAAUUUACAUUUAUUUAUAGAACGAUAUCCUACUGAUACGACUUGUCUGCCAGGCAACCGUGAAUAAAAAUCCAACAUUGAGGACGCGUGAUCGUUUGCCCCAGGCUCCCAGGCUACAGAUUUAUCUGUCGUCAGGCGUUAACACCACCGGCAGUAAUAUAUGUCAAACACAAUCCAAGGCAGAGUACUCAGUACUGAAUGAAUAGCGUGCGGCCCUGUGUUACCUCUCCUCCGUUUGGGUUCUCCAUGCCAGCCACCCUUCAUAGUACAGCUUUUGUUUCUGAACUUUUAAGACUUCCUGCCUGGGCAUGGACCCAAGAACCUCCCCACCUGGAGGCACAGCUCAUACCUGUCAGGUGCAGGAUCUCGCACUGACGAUGUGAUCCCUCCGUUAUUUGACUUUGUUGUGAUGUGCCAAACUGUUCACAUUCCAGGAGGUGUGAUCUCGCACAUGCAGUCAUUAUGCAUCAGAUCAUCUCUGGAAGAUGCAAUACCCGGCACUGACAUGUGAAACAGUCUUGAUAUGAAAAUCUUUAAACCUGUGAGCUUUUAUGUAUCUUGGAAUCUUUAAUGUUCAUGCCAUAUUUAACACUCUACGAGUCCUAUGGUCAUUUUAUGUUCUAAGAUCUGGCCCAGCUUGGACUCAUGAACCUCAACACGUUAAUUAUUUAAACAAGCCACAUUAUUUCCUCAAUGCUCUGCAUGUGCCUGCUGACAUUUAAAUAUAAUUCAAUUUAAAUAAUAAUAAUAAUAAUAAUAAUAAUAAUAAUAAUAAUAAUAAUGACUGCACUGGAUCUUUACUUUCAUAGAUAGUAUUUUAGACCCCUACUUUUGGUGCUCAUGCAGUGUCGUAUAACAUUUUGGUACUUUUCAUGACGAUCGGUGAAGAAGGUAUCCAGGCAGAGCGAUUAAGCAGAGAAAUAGCACUUAUAUUAGGUAAGGUGAAAUAAAGAGUUUAAGUAAUCAAGUGCGUACUGCUUCCUCUGAAAAAGUAACGUCCUCUUUUGAUAACACGCUGUCGUUAUUAAAUUUCAAAAAGUCCAUCCCGAGACAUCACCGUUAAGUCUGCGCUUGAAGUGAGGAAAAUAUCAUUUUGACUUUGUAUUUUCACUGUGACAGGGUUUCAGGAGGAUGCAACGAUACACAGUGUUUGAUUUGAUACAAAGUUGUCGCAAUACAAUUUUUGUGUAGUUCUACUGACUGACACAAAAAAUUUUAUGUUGGAUGCGUGGACGUUACCACUCAUUUACUGUAAAUGUCACAAGCUCUCGAAGUCGAAGCUCUCCUAAAAACUCAGACCUUGAGGACUUGGGGGAAUCUUUCAGCUCCUGUUUGCUGUAACAGUGCCUAAUAUGGGCUGCCUAUGGGCUGUGUGACUAGACGUAUCUACUGUGCAGACUCUGGCUUCAAUGCUCUCUACUGCACAGACACUAGCUCCAAUUUACACCUACUACACAGACUCCAUCAAAUAUGGCGACUUUCAGUUCACCCAAAUUUACGUCAAUUCGUGUACAAUUUAAGCUUCAAUGGGAGUCAAAUUUAAGCUUCAAUGGGAGUCAAAUUCAUGAUUCAAUGGGAGUCAAAUUUAUGACUCAAUGGGAGUCAAAUUCAUGAUUCAAUGAGAGUCAAAUUUAAGUUUCAAUGGGAGUCAAAUUUAGGCUUCAAUGGGAGACAAAUUCAUGAUUCAAAGGGAGUCAAAUUUAAGCUUCAAUGGGAGUCAAAAUUAUGCUUCAAUGGGAGCCAAAUUUAUGCUUCAAUGGGAGUCAAAUUUAAGCUUCGAUGGGAGUCAAAUUUAAGCUUCGAUGGGAGUCAAAUUUAAGCUUCAAUGGGAGUCAAAUUUAAGCUUCAAUGGGAGUCAAAUUUAAGCUUCAAUGGGAGUCAAAUUUAUGCUCCAACGGGAGUCAAAUUUAAGCUUUAAUGGGAGUCAAAUUUAGGUUAACCUAACAGCAUGAGACACUUUAUACUGUAUAUGCAAGUUUUUUGUAAACCCCUGUAGCCUCUACUGAUUUGAGAUAAAGAGAAACUAAGUUUUCCAGAAGAGGGAAUGUGGGCUUGAUUAAGUUUAAAUUUCUAUUACAUCUCAUGGAUUGAAUCGAGAGCCUCAUCUUCAAUAAUACAAUAUCACACGGCAUGUUGUUACACCCAUAAAAAAACCCACUUCGAGCACUAACAUCAGAGCGGGAACGAUCAAAGAAUUAUAACUGGAUUACGCCCAACCAAAUUAGUAACACUCGUUGCUGGCGUUAAACCAGAAAAUUAAGAUUGAUCCGGUACAAAACCAAAGCCUUCAACUGAAAGUGAAGCUGACCGUUUCAUUCAUUACAUCAUGUUACUUAGCAUUUUAAGUUUUGGGUGUAAACACCAUCAAAACCUUAUAGUUGUUUAUAUGACACUGGAUUGUUUUACAGUUUGUUGUAGUUUGCAUCAUAAUUAGAGCCACAUGUAUAGUGAAAACACAUACCACAUUUUCCAGGUUCCUCAGAAACUCUCUACAUACAGAUAUGAAUAAAACACAUGCUUUAAAUCUCACAAAGAACUAGCAUGCUAAAUUGUAUUUCUAAAAUCUAUGAACACAAUGCUUGGGAAAAUAUUUUAAAGUGGAGCUAUACUGUAAAGUAAAGAGCUUGGGUAAACAAUGACUUCUUAAUCUUUAAUGUUACCUACUUAGAUUUUGUUCAUCACUGUGUGCACUCCUGGCAUGAAGAAGGGGCGUGUCUAUGCCCAAUAUGGGCUGUGUGACUGGACGUAUGUAUUGUGCAGACUCUGGCCUCAAUGCUCUCUAUUGCACAGACACUCGCUCCAAUUUACACCUACUGCGCAGAGUCCGUCAAAGAUGGCGACUUUCAGUUCACCCAAAUUUACGUCAAUUCAAGCAAAAUUCAGGCUUCAAUGGGAGUCCAAUUUAGGCUACAAUUGGAGUCCAAUUUAGGCUUCAAUGGGAGUCCAAUUUAGGCUUCACUGGAGGCCAAUUUAAGAUUCAAUGGGAGUCCAAUUUAGGCUUCAAUGGGAGUCCAAUUUAGGCUUCAAUGGGAGUCAAAUUUAGGCUUCAAUGGGAGUCAAAUUUAAGCUUCAAUGGGAGUCAAAUUUAAGCUUCAAUGGGAGUCAAAUUAAAGCUUCAGUGGGAGUCAAAUUAAAGCUUUAAUGGGAGUCAAAUUAAAGCUUCAGUGGGAGUCAAGUUUAAGCUUCAAUGGGAGUCAAAUUUAAACUUUUGUAAGCUUUUGAACCUCAGAGAAUAGAAACAAAACAAAAAGGGUAUAUCAACUCUUUGACAUAUUAUUAAUGUGUCAGCAAAAGCCCUAAUUUCUUGAUACUGGUGUGAAUUCAUGUCUUGUCACCUCUUUGUGAUUAUCAUCAUAAGCACACAUGUUUAAUGUUAGGUUAAUCGUGAUAAACAAAUUGUCUCUUAAAGCUGGAAUAAUAUACAUCACUGUUACAGCUCUUAUACACUGUGCUUUUCACCUACAGCUAAGCAAAAGUUCUUUACUUCACUAAAAAAUGUAAAGAAAUAAAAAAGCAGAUGCAAUAGACAUUGAUAAGGUUAGAAUGCUUGCGAUGGUUUCAAAUCGCUGCUGUCAUCUUAUGUCUUGUAACAGUGGCGUGCGGUACGUGGUGACAAGCCCAUGUAAAAUAAAUACAUUUACUAAAGAGGAGAGACUUUCUAGAGUGUUGUGUUUUUCUACCAACCUGUAUGUGAUCACGCUCCAUUCACAAAAUGGCGUCCCAGCUGUCCAAGACGCACUGGAGUACAGAAGAGAUGCUGGCUCUUAUUUUAACUCCGUUUGGGGAGAACCAAACUUCCCACAGCAAUCUGAAAUCACAAUUCCUAAUCACAAAUAUCAAAAAGCAACAUUUAAAAAAAAAUUAUUUCAUGAUUUGGGAAGUGUUUCAUAUCCGGGGAAGGGUCACUGAUACAGGCGCUACGAGACAACAUACGACAAUUAGCAGCAGUCAAAUAUCUUUACAAUCACAGAGGAGCGCCUGUAAAAUAAGAUCGCAUGUACGUUUGUAAAGAUACACAGAAAUAGAGAUGUACAGAAUCUGUAUUGUAUAUUCAGUUCACAGCCGGACAUAUCAUUUAAUUAGCCGGCCAAUCACUGAUCACGAUUCUUCCCAACAACCAAUCACUGACCACCGUUUUUUUGUCGCCUCACACAUUUCGUGUUUCGUUUUAAACUAUCUUCUUGGCGAUAUUUACAGUAAAAAUGCAAUUAUUCCAACUGUAACCUUUCCUUUGGGUCUAUUUAUUUGUUUUGUCUACAUUUUUAAUAGAAAGUACAGCUUUUUAAAAAUACAUAAAUAGUUUGUUUGUGGAGCCGUGACCCAAGUCGACUUCUUUCUGCGAGAAAUGUUAUCUAUUCUAAUAAAACUCUCUUCUAUUUUAUUCAAAGUGUCUUUUCAGUAUCCUUCUUCCUCAGGUAAAAGGCUUUGAUAUGCAAAUGACCAUGCAAAUGACCAUGCAAAUUAGUUUAAGACAUCAUCUGGUGACUGCUAGACACUUUUUGAGCGCAGUUUCUAACCAAAUUUAAUGAAUGUUGGCUUAAUGGAGACGUUUCUGAAGCAGGAACAUGAGCACAAUGAAUAUAAGCGUAGUCAAAAAUAAUAAUUAAUAACUGACCAGUUUAUUUCCAGCUCUGAUUAUGCUAAUGUGCGUUAACUAGUUAGCGUGGAUGCUAAUCCAGUUUGUCAGACUAGCUUAAAGCGACAUUUGGAUAAACUAUUUCGCUGUAAAUGAAAGGUUUCGUCAUCUAGACAUGUUUUUAGAAACAGUAUGAAAGACUGACAGAAUAAAAUACUAAUAAUAACCAUUUUAAUCAACUUACUUAUCAAGUCAUGUUCGGCGUUUUUUUCUGACAAGGGAACAGCUAGCUAAUGGCGUUUCGUUCAUGAACGAGUCGACUCCCCGAGAUCGGUUCUUUGAAUCCUUUCUUUUGGGUGAACAGUGGGAAUCGACUCACAGUUCUGAAGAGUCUUUUUGGUGAUCGAACAGCGGAGAAAUAACGGUCGAGAUUUAAAAAUACUCUGUAGAUCCAUAUGAAAUGUUUAAUACUGCAGUAAGAAAUGUGGAUAUUUAUUAGACCAAAAGCGUUAAAAAAAAUUUAAUAAAGGAAAAGUUAAAGCUGACUGAAACAUCUAUACUCAUAUUUAUGUCCAAUUUAAAGUAAAUAUUUAUGUAAAGCUAGAAUGCAUUUUAAACACAGAUAAAGUGUCACAAUGACCUACUGUAUGUGCAGGUUUCAGAAAAAUAACAUAAAGAUUAAUAAAUCCUACAAAAACUUGGCCACCUAGAAACCACGACUAGCGCUAUGGCUAUAACGACACGUAUUAUAUUGACGUAUAAUAAUUAAAACAUCUCAAAAAUCUUGUUAUUUUUGCAUUCAUUAAUAAUUCAUUAUAACUUAUGUGGACAUUUCAGUCCCCCAGUUCGUCUGCUAUCCGUAAUCAGUACCCGAGAUUAGAAUUAGCGCCUCCCAAAUCGUAUUACGUUGAAACGAGUAUCCCAGAGAUACCCGGAUGGUCUACUGUUUCCGAUAGAUUUGCGAAGUGUGGAUCCGUGAACACUUUUUCCCAAAACAAUAUUACCCACAACUCCUUGCGCGAGGGACGGAGGAGGACUCUUGUGGCGAGUUGCUUUGCCGAAUUCAACCUGCGAUCGCACACGGCGGUCGAGUGUGACGUCGGUGACGCGUGUCUUCCGUAUUUAAGCACUAAAUAUUAAUAUCAUUCAAAAUAAAUCGAGGUAAUAGUAAAUGAAAUGAUAUAGUAUACAUUAUGUAAGGAAUAAUCGUUGAAGAAGAGCCGAAAUGCCAUGAGGAGUUUGUUUACGGUGACUUUCGCAACCUCACGCGUCAGUAUGUCCCAGUACUUGUGUACUUUAGCAACAUUACAGUGUCCUUAAUGUUCACGUUUUUUGUGUAUUUGCGAACUUUUGGCUAAAAACUCAACCCUGUUAUUCAUUUAAGAGCAAAUUGCAGCCUGUCAGAAAAGAAACCUAGUAAAAAUUAGAUUGAAAUUAUUUUGUUUUUAUUAAAUCAUGUUUUCUUGGAUUCAUGGUUGAAAAAUGAGUUACAAGGACACCACAAUCAUGGAAACACCCAACAAAUAAAUACUGUAUGCACUAUAAACACUGGGUAUAAUGUUAUGCUCUAUAAGAGUAUUAGUAAUCACAUACACUAUGGAUACAGCAGAUAGAGAUUGGUUCACAUAUUCGCAUAUAAAAUGUCCAUAUUUAAACAAACACUUUCAUUCAGUCAUGCUAAAUUGACAUAUCAUGUACAAUAACGCUAUCAGGCUUCUGUUUGACCACAAUAACAGGUAUCACUAUGGCUACCGGACCCGUCCAGCUGCCUGACGCGAUCAUCAUCCGGUAUAGAAAGCAUACGAGGACGGCGUAUGAGCAUACGUUUGAGCAAACAUCCCCAUCGACCCUUUCCAGAAUUCACAACGUACCGUAACGGAAAAUAGAGAACUCACAGAGGCUUGGAAAUGCAUUCCUGCACGGGUCAGCUUGAACAAGAAUGCUUUAGCUGUGAGAAAACGUGAGCGAGUUACAUUCACGAAGUUGUAUAAUGAUUUAAUCUAAAGCAUAACUUCAUAAUUAGUUUGGGACGUUCGAAAAUAUACAACAGUAUAUCAAAUUAUAUGUGGAAAAUAAAUAAAUAAAUUCUGGAAAUAUUUUAGAUCCACGGUAAUGUGAAAUAACAGUAGAUUCAGUGAAAAGUUUGUAUACAUUAUAAAUUAUAUGGAGAAUUGAGCCAACAUCCUGAAUUAAAACUGGGUCGCACUAACAAGGAUUCAAUUAAACAGGACAGCGGAAGACUAUGCUCAUAAGUUUAAUUUUUAUUCAAGUAGCUAAACAGAUAAACCUUCAACUAUAGGAUUAUUUUUGGUUUGUCCGCCAAAACUCUUCGUUAUUCACCACAUAGUGCCCAUUUUUGCUAUUAGAGUAUAUAAAGAGCGCCCAUGAAAUCCCACAAUGCCGUGUUUAUUGUUAGUAUCCAAUUAUAUAAAGUGGGUACCCACAAUGCACUUCACUUUGUUUUGUAGCACACUAUUAUGGAGCAGUAUUUCAGCUACAGGGAAUGACCGUGUGCCAUGAUGGAUUUGUUGGUCUAAACAAUUACACUGCAGCAACAGUACUCAUGAGAUUAUUCAUUAUUUACCGUAUACUCGCCUUUUAAAUAGAAACGUACUCUAUUGAUCUGCAAGAGUUAAAGGGAUGGUUCACCCCAAAAUGAAAACUGUCUCAUCAUUUACUCACCCUCACGUCGUUCCAAACCUGCACGCGUUUCUUUCUUCUCAGGAACUCGAAAGAAGACAUUUCGAAGAGUAUUGGCAACCGAACAGUUAUGGUUCUCACUUUUUUUUUUUAUGUUCUUUUAUGUUCAACAGAAGAAAGA
ensembl:lncRNA